rnacentral:rRNA from 1 species
UACGGGGGGGGCAAGCGUUGUUCGGAAUUACUGGGCGUAAAGGGCUCGUAGGGGGCCAACUAAGUCAGAGGUGAAAUCCCUCGGCUUAACCGGGGAACUGCGUCUGAUACUGGAUGGCUUGAGGUUGGGAGAGGGAUGCGGAAUUCCAGGUGUAGCGGUGAAAUGCGUAGAUAUCUGGAGGAACACCGGUGGCGAAGGCGGCAUCCUGGACCAAAUCUGACGCUGAGGAGCGAAAGCCAGGGGAGCAAACGGG